GCAAUGGCGGGCACUCCUCCCUCAGCCUUGCUGCCGCCUUGCAGUUUGAUCUCAGACUGCUGUGCUAGCAAUGAGCGAGGCUGCGUGGGCAUAGGACCCUCUGAGCCAUGCGCGGGAUAUAAUCUCCUGUUGUGCCAUUUGGUAAGACCUUUGGAAAAGUGUAGUAUUAGGGUGGGAGUGACCUGAUUUUCCAGGUGCCGUCUGUCACCGCUUUCUUUGACUAGGAAAGGGAAUUCUCUGACCCCUUGCACUUCCUGGGUGAGGCGAUGCCUCGCCCUGCUUCGGCUCACGCUUGGUGUGCUGCACCCACUGUCCUGCACCCACUGUCCGGCACUCCCCAGUGAGAUGAACCCGGUACCUCAGUUGGAAAUGCAGAAAUCACCUGUCUUCUGCAUCGCUAAUGCUGGGAGCUGUAAACUGGAGCUGUUCCUAUUCGGCCAUCUUGGCUCCACCCCUGGGGACAAGUAUUUUUCAACAGGCUUUGUCUAAUUGUUUUUACAAAUUCUUUCACACAUAUAAGAAAAAACAAUUAGAACAUAUAAGUAAGUAAAACAAUUUGAGACAUCAUUCAUGCCAAUAAUUUUUUUAAUGUACGAAACUAAACACAAGAAUUGUGUAGGAUCUAUUGAAGAAAACCACAAUGAUUUACUGAAGGACAUGGAGAAGGGCUAGAAUAAAGAAAGAGAUACUCCAUUUUAGUAGGUGGGAGCACACAAAAUUAAAAUGAUGUUAAUUAUCCACAAAUUACUUUAUGGACUUGAUGCAGUUAAGUCAAACUCCCCAUAAAAUUGCUUUAUUUUCUUUUCUGUCUUUCCUUUUUUCAUUCUUUUUUCCUCCCCUUGCGUUAGUCACACUGGUAUUCUUUCUGCUUCUUGAGCUCCAAGCUCUCCCCAGGAUCAGGAAUUUUGCAUCUGUUCUUUUAUUUUAUUUUUCUUAUGCUGGAAUUCUCUUCUGGAUCUGCAUGUGGCUGCUUCUUCCUGUCAUGCAUGUCUUAGCCCAGUGUCACCCUGUAAGAAAUUACUGAACCACCCAACUUAGAGUAACUUAUAAGAAAUUUUCUGUUGCAUUGCCCUGCUUUCUCUUCUUCUUCACAGUUGCCAAAAUCUGAAAAUACAUUGUUUAUAUAUUUACAUGGUGUUAUCUGUUACCCCACCACUAGAACAUAAGAGCCAUGAUAGCAGUGGCAUGCUCCCAUUUAUUUCUACUGAAUUUCUAGCCCCUAAAGCAAUACCAGACACAAGAAAGACAUUCCAUUGAUUGAUUUUUUUUAAUGAAUGAUCAGUUUUGCAAUCUGAUCUGAUAAUUUUGCAGAGAAAGCAUUCUGCUUACAGACCCAUUAGACUUAAUUCUGUUAUUUUAAAACAUAACCAUUUAUUAGACUAGUUUUAAGUAUUUACUUUGUUGUAUUCAAACCAUUUCCUAAUUUUCCCUGAGUAUGAUUCUUAUCACUACCACCAUUUCUUUUUUUAAGUAUUUCUCUCUCUCUUUUUACACAUCCUUUUUUUAAGGAACAGUUUACGAUCACAGCAAAAUUGAGAAGAAGAUGCAGAGAUUUCCCAUAUGCCUCCUGUCCCCACACAUCCCCCAUCAGAAUGGUGCAUUUGCUACAACUGAGGAACCUAUGCUGACAGAUUAUUAUCACCCAAAGUCUGUAGUUUACAUUAGAAUUUACCUUUGGUGUACAUUUGAUGGGUUUGGACAGAUACAUAGUGACAUGUAUCUACCAUUAUAAUAUCAUAUUGAUUUUUAUCACUGCCCUUCUACCAGUUUUUAGCUUACGACUUUAGGCAAGUUGCUUAACUUUUCACAGCCUCAGUUUCCUCCUAUGUAAAAUGGGGAUAAUGAGAGUACCAACCUCAUAGGUUUCUUGUGAAUGAUAAAUGAAUUAAUAGAGAUAACUUAAAACAUUGUCUGGCAUAUAGUAAACAUUCAAUAGAUGUUAGUUAUUAUUUUACUAAUUAUAUAACAUUUAUUUCUAUAUCUAAAACCCUGUCAGAGAGGCUUUUUUACUUUUUAAACGACCACUUUCUGAAAGACUCUUCAUCAGUCAGUUGUUCAUAAGUAAAAAGUGACACCCUAUGAUUAAUUGGUACAAAUAUAUUGUUUGACAGACAAAAUAAAACCUAGUAUUUUAUAGAUCAAUAGGAUGACUAUCAUUUAUAGUAGUCUAUUGUACAUUUCAAGAUAGUUAGAGAAUAAUUCAAAUGUUUUCAGCAUAAAGAUAAUUAUUUAAGGUGAUGGAUAUCCCAAGUAUAGUUAUGUGAUAUUUACAAAUUAUAUGAAUGUAUUAAAUUUUCACAUGUACCCCAAAAGUAUGUGCAUCUAUUAUACGUCAAUAAAAAAUUGUUAAACAACACCAACAAAAUGGCACUCUACAAGGGCUAAUGUGAAUGCAUUGGUGUUAAGUUUGGAUUCACAAGAGAACUGUGCAGAUUUAUGGUUUUGGUUCCAGUGACUGCAUUUACCCAGGUAAUAUUCAUAAUUUUCUCUCUUGCUUUGCUAUCAAAAUUUCCGGACUUGUCCUUUAAGUACUUUCACUGCAUUUGUAAAACAAACAUCUCUACAAAUACAUGACUGCUGAUGGCAUGUGUGGUGGUGAACAGGUUGAUUUUGCUCUGGCAAAUAACUCUUUAUAUAUUUUCAUUUAGCCAGUAUUUACUGAGUGCUCCCCAUAGACCAGCACUGUUACAGUCUCAUGAGAACGACGUGGUAUACACAGUCAAUGAGAGUCCUGCUCUUUGUUACUGCUGAAAGCAUCCUGAGUGACACAAACUUGAAGCAUGCAAGAGGACUAAAUAACUUCCAAAGUCACACAUAUUGCAUGUCAAGAGCCAGCUUCAAACUCAAGUCCCUGUGACCAGAGGUCGAUGCUCUAAACACAUUUCUGCAUGACCUGCUUGUGGCAGCCUGGAGAAAUUCUACAUAAAUCUUCUCAGAGCCAGUGGAGGAGGUUCACACUCACAUCAGGAAGAGCCUGAGGAUAAAGGGGAGCACAACAUGUGUUUUGCAAAUCAGUAAAUCAAUCAACUAAUAUUUAUGGACUAUUAAAUUUGAGUGGAGCUAUACAUUUGCAAAGACAAAGGAAACAGGUAUGAUAUAGAGGGGUUACCUUCAAGUCACUUACAUUUUACAUGCUGAGCCCUAACCAAUGAAAAGAUAGCUAGUAAACAUAUCUUUGGAAUGGUUCUUACAAAACUAUGGUGUGGUAAUCUUCUCUUCCAUAGAGCUUAGUUGCCUAUCCCAAUGAAGAUGAUUAUUUUUAUUUCUUUUUUUUAUUUUUGUAAGUGCUGGGGAUGGACUAGUCUAAACAUAAUAUCAUCUCUAAAUUAUACUGAAGACACUGAAUAUUGAAAUAGAGUUUCUUGUGGCCUUCAUGUAACAUGACAUGAUAAUGGUAUAGCCUAUUUGAUAUCACAGGGGAAUUAAAUUUGCUCUUUUUAAUCAUCUGGAAGAGAGCAAUUUGGCAUAUGUUGCAAUUACAAGGAUGCCUUUCUCUGAGACUAUUUACAGAGAUAGCCACAGCUUAAGACAGAAGAGCAUUGUUUGAUUUGAGAGCUGUAAGGAAGGGGACGACAUCAAAGGCUCCCAAAUGUAGCCGGACACUUCGACUUCUCUGUACAGAAAGUUGAUUAUGGUCUGCAAAAGUGCACCAAGGGCAUUGCUACACACAAGUUCAGUCUUUCCUCAUUGAAGGUUUAUGGGGCUUGUAAUGUCAAGAUCCAUGAAUUUCAGGGACUGUUCUUGUCCUUGGAUCAGAUUUGGAAGCAGCUUUUGAUCAGUGAAGUGAAACAAUUAAUUAUAAUAAAUAAUGCUACUAGAAAUCCUCACACAGUCAGUUAAAGGAGGAGGGGAGCCAAAGAAAUAAAGCUUGUCUCUGGCAGAAUCUCAUCAUCUGGUCUGCCUGGACCCUAUCCUGUUUGGCUACAGCAACCACAGCUCACUAAGCCUCUGGUGAAAGACACAGUUGCGCCAUAUUCUCAGCCAGUGGUGGUAUUGGGUUUUGGAAGGGUGGAGGGGGUGAUAAAAGAAGCUCAAAAGGAUCAGAGAGGAAUGCAAAAUUGUUUUCCAUUCAUCUGUAUUUGAUUGCUUUGUGCCCUGAAGCACAUGAUUUAAUUAUUUUCAUCAUUGCCUCAGCUUCCUCAGCUACCAAUCUCAUUGAUGGCAAUAAAAUUAUUCAGCCUUUACAAAAAAUGCAGCCAUAAUAAUUCUUGACUCAAUGAAUACUUAAGGCUAUAAAAUCAGCUCCUUGAAUGACUGCAUCCAAUUGAAAACACCAACCCAGGGCUUUCUCAACAAUUAAAGUGAAAUAUAAACUUAUGUGAGAUAGAAGCGUCCUGCUUCUAUAUUCAAAAUAGCUACCUGUUAUUCGUUGCCUACAACUUAUAUUCGCUAUCUCUAGUCCACACAAGAGCCCUCUGUGAAGACAAUUUUUUUUCCCCUAAGGGAGCUCAAAAAAGCCCUGAGUCAGUGUUUUGAGUUGAUUAUUGUAAGGUGUGUGGGAGGGGGCAGGAGUGGAGCUGGAGAAUGGCCAGAAAUGAAUGCUUGAAGUACAGACAAAAGCAAAUCAAAAGAUGAAUGUGUAGCAGAAAAUGCUGCAAGUGGAGAGAAAUAGGAAGUUUCAAGCCCAGUCCAAAAAUCACGUCAGAAACCUGGGGGAGAUGUCAGAAAUGAACUACAUGGCCCAGGACUUUCUCUAAAAGUGUAAUUUUCUUGAAAGGCCCCAGCAAGAGGUAGUGGCUCUGUCUGGUACUCUCACAGCCUUCCCUUGCCAUGUGUAUGUGUUUUUUAAAUGUGUGUGUGCACACAAGCAUGUGUGUGCCUAUGUGUGUGUAUUUAAAUUUAACCUCCUUUAUUUUUGUAAUCUCUUUAUUAAAAGUGCUUAUAGAAUCCAAAUCUUG
rnacentral:lncRNA from 10 species